rnacentral:rRNA from 1 species
AUUGAACGCUGGCGGCAGGCUUAACACAUGCAAGUCGAGCGGGGGAAGGUAGCUUGCUACUGGACCUAGCGGCGGACGGGUGAGUAAUGCUUAGGUAUCUGCCUAUUAGUGGGGGACAACAUCUCGAAAGGGAUGCUAAUACCGCAUACGUCCUACGGGAGAAAGCAGGGGAUCUUCGGACCUUGCGCUAAUAGAUGAGCCUAAGUCGGAUUAGCUAGUUGGUGGGGUAAAGGCCUACCAAGGCGACGAUCUGUAGCGGGUCUGAGAGGAUGAUCCGCCACACUGGGACUGAGACACGGCACAGACUCCUACGGGAGGCAGCAGUGGGGAAUAUUGGACAAUGGGGGGAACCCUGAUCCAGCCAUGCCGCGUGUGUGAAGAAGGCCUUAUGGUUGUAAAGCACUUUAAGCGAGGAGGAGGCUACUUUAGUUAAUACCUAGAGAUAGUGGACGUUACUCGCAGAAUAAGCACCGGCUAACUCUGUGCCAGCCGCCGCCGUAA